AAGUCGUAACAAGGUUUCCGUAGGUGAACCUGCGGAAGGAUCAUUAUUGAAACAUUGCAAGGAAAGGUUGAGCUGGUUCUUCUAGAGCAAGUGCUCGCCUUUCUUUCAAUCUUCAUCCACCUGUGCACUUUUUGUAGAAAGUUACUGAGAAAAUGGACUUUGUAACAGAGGUCUUCAGUAUUGGUGCUUUCUAUGUCUUUACACACCUUUGAUGUAUGUUUUUGAAUGUCUUUUAUAAGGGGACUUGAUUGGCCCUUUAAAAAAACUAUACAACUUUCAGCAACGGAUCUCUUGGCUCUC
rnacentral:misc_RNA from 1 species